rnacentral:rRNA from 1 species
GAUGAACGCUGGCGGCGUGCCUAAUACAUGCAAGUCGAACGAACAGACUAGUAGCUUGCUCCUCUGACGUUAGCGGCGGACGGGUGAAUAACACGUGGGUAACCUACCUAUAAGACUGGUAUAACUUCGGGAAACCGGAUCUAAUACCGGAUAAUAUUGUUAACCGCGUGGUUCAAGAGUGAAAUACGGUUUUGCUUGCACUUGUAGAUUGAUCGGCUCGUCAUGAGCUAGUUGGUAAGGUAACGGCUUACCAAGGCAACGAUGCGUAGCCGACGUGACAGCGGGAUCGGCCACACAGGAGCUGAGACGCGACCCAGACACCUACGGGAGGCAGAAGUAGGGAAUCGUGGGCAAUGGGCGAAAGACUGCCGGAGGAACGCAGCGUGGGUGAUGAAGGUCUUCGGAUCGUAAAACGCUGUUAUUAGGGAAGAACAAAUGUGUAAGUAACGAUGCACGUGUGGACGGUACCGAAUCAGAAAGCCCCGGCUAACUACGU